rnacentral:rRNA from 1 species
AGCGUACACGGUGGAUGCCCUGGCAGUCAGAGGCGAUGAAGGACGUGCUAAUCUGCGAUAAGCGUCGGUAAGGUGAUAUGAACCGUUAUAACCGGCGAUUUCCGAAUGGGGAAACCCAGUGUGUUUCGACACACUAUCAUUAACUGAAUCCAUAGGUUAAUGAGGCGAACCGGGGGAACUGAAACAUCUAAGUACCCCGAGGAAAAGAAAUCAACCGAGAUUCCCCCAGUAGCGGCGAGCGAACGGGGAGGAGCCCAGAGCCUGAAUCAGUGUGUGUGUUAGUGGAAGCGUCUGGAAAGGCGCGCGAUACAGGGUGACAGCCCCGUACACAAAAAUGCACAUACUGUGAGCUCGAUGAGUAGGGCGGGACACGUGGUAUCCUGUCUGAAUAUGGGGGGACCAUCCUCCAAGGCUAAAUACUCCUGACUGACCGAUAGUGAACCAGUACCGUGAGGGAAAGGCGAAAAGAACCCCGGCGAGGGGAGUGAAAAAGAACCUGAAACCGUGUACGUACAAGCAGUGGGAGCACGCUUAGGCGUGUGACUGCGUACCUUUUGUAUAAUGGGUCAGCGACUUAUAUUCUGUAGCAAGGUUAACCGAAUAGGGGAGCCGAAGGGAAACCGAGUCUUAACUGGGCGUUAAGUUGCAGGGUAUAGACCCGAAACCCGGUGAUCUAGCCAUGGGCAGGUUGAAGGUUGGGUAACACUAACUGGAGGACCGAACCGACUAAUGUUGAAAAAUUAGCGGAUGACUUGUGGCUGGGGGUGAAAGGCCAAUCAAACCGGGAGAUAGCUGGUUCUCCCCGAAAGCUAUUUAGGUAGCGCCUCGUGAAUUCAUCUCCGGGGGUAGAGCACUGUUUCGGCAAGGGGGUCAUCCCGACUUACCAACCCGAUGCAAACUGCGAAUACCGGAGAAUGUUAUCACGGGAGACACACGGCGGGUGCUAACGUCCGUCGUGAAGAGGGAAACAACCCAGACCGCCAGCUAAGGUCCCAAAGUCAUGGUUAAGUGGGAAACGAUGUGGGAAGGCCCAGACAGCCAGGAUGUUGGCUUAGAAGCAGCCAUCAUUUAAAGAAAGCGUAAUAGCUCACUGGUCGAGUCGGCCUGCGCGGAAGAUGUAACGGGGCUAAACCAUGCACCGAAGCUGCGGCAGCGACGCUNNNNNNNNNNNNNNNNNNNNNNNNNNNNNNNNNNNNNNNNNNNNNNNNNNNNNNNUAUGCUGGAGGUAUCAGAAGUGCGAAUGCUGACAUAAGUAACGAUAAAGCGGGUGAAAAGCCCGCUCGCCGGAAGACCAAGGGUUCCUGUCCAACGUUAAUCGGGGCAGGGUGAGUCGACCCCUAAGGCGAGGCCGAAAGGCGUAGUCGAUGGGAAACAGGUUAAUAUUCCUGUACUUGGUGUUACUGCGAAGGGGGGACGGAGAAGGCUAUGUUGGCCGGGCGACGGUUGUCCCGGUUUAAGCGUGUAGGCUGGUUUUCCAGGCAAAUCCGGAAAAUCAAGGCUGAGGCGUGAUGACGAGGCACUACGGUGCUGAAGCAACAAAUGCCCUGCUUCCAGGAAAAGCCUCUAAGCAUCAGGUAACAUCAAAUCGUACCCCAAACCGACACAGGUGGUCAGGUAGAGAAUACCAAGGCGCUUGAGAGAACUCGGGUGAAGGAACUAGGCAAAAUGGUGCCGUAACUUCGGGAGAAGGCACGCUGAUAUGUAGGUGAAGUCCCUCGCGGAUGGAGCUGAAAUCAGUCGAAGAUACCAGCUGGCUGCAACUGUUUAUUAAAAACACAGCACUGUGCAAACACGAAAGUGGACGUAUACGGUGUGACGCCUGCCCGGUGCCGGAAGGUUAAUUGAUGGGGUCAGCGCAAGCGAAGCUCUUGAUCGAAGCCCCGGUAAACGGCGGCCGUAACUAUAACGGUCCUAAGGUAGCGAAAUUCCUUGUCGGGUAAGUUCCGACCUGCACGAAUGGCGUAAUGAUGGCCAGGCUGUCUCCACCCGAGACUCAGUGAAAUUGAACUCGCUGUGAAGAUGCAGUGUACCCGCGGCAAGACGGAAAGACCCCGUGAACCUUUACUAUAGCUUGACACUGAACAUUGAGCCUUGAUGUGUAGGAUAGGUGGGAGGCUUUGAAGUGUGGACGCCAGUCUGCAUGGAGCCGACCUUGAAAUACCACCCUUUAAUGUUUGAUGUUCUAACGUUGACCCGUGAUCCGGGUUGCGGACAGUGUCUGGUGGGUAGUUUGACUGGGGCGGUCUCCUCCUAAAGAGUAACGGAGGAGCACGAAGGUUGGCUAAUCCUGGUCGGACAUCAGGAGGUUAGUGCAAUGGCAUAAGCCAGCUUGACUGCGAGCGUGACGGCGCGAGCAGGUGCGAAAGCAGGUCAUAGUGAUCCGGUGGUUCUGAAUGGAAGGGCCAUCGCUCAACGGAUAAAAGGUACUCCGGGGAUAACAGGCUGAUACCGCCCAAGAGUUCAUAUCGACGGCGGUGUUUGGCACCUCGAUGUCGGCUCAUCACAUCCUGGGGCUGAAGUAGGUCCCAAGGGUAUGGCUGUUCGCCAUUUAAAGUGGUACGCGAGCUGGGUUUAGAACGUCGUGAGACAGUUCGGUCCCUAUCUGCCGUGGGCGCUGGAGAACUGAGGGGGGCUGCUCCUAGUACGAGAGGACCGGAGUGGACGCAUCACUGGUGUUCGGGUUGUCAUGCCAAUGGCACUGCCCGGUAGCUAAAUGCGGAAGAGAUAAGUGCUGAAAGCAUCUAAGCACGAAACUUGCCCCGAGAUGAGUUCUCCCUGACUCCUUGA